rnacentral:rRNA from 1 species
GAUGGAAAGCACUUUGAAAAGAGGGUGAAAAGCACCUGAAACCGUCACGGGGGAAGCGGAUUGCGUGAGUGUGGUGUGGUGCCUGUUCAGCUACCCCUCGGGGUAGUGUAUUCAGCACUAGCCGUGCCGGUGUGGCUGCUUGGUUUCGGAGUGUGCGAAACCGGGUGGUGAGGGCUCCCCUUUUUAUUGGGUUGAGGACAUCGGCGAAAUGACGCGACCCGACCCGUCUUGAAACACGGACCAAGGAGUCUAGCACUACUGCGAGUCGAAGGGUUGCAAACCCAAUGGGCGAAGUGAAAGCGAAACAUAUAGGAAAUUUGAUACAGAUUGGGGAGGUGUGGCGACGUUGUCAAUAUAUCCUACCCUGAGCAGUUGUGCUGGGACCCGAAAGAUGGUGAACUAUGCCGGAAUAGGGCAAAGCCAGAGGAAACUCUGGUGGAGGCUCGUAGCGAUGCUGACGUGCAAAUCGCUCGUCGAAUUUGGGUAUAGGGGCGAAAGACUAAUCGAACCAUCUAGUAGCUGGUUCCCUCCGAAGUUUCUCUCAGGAUAGCGGGCCGACGAUGUGGGUUGUUUUGUGC